UUUCUCUUCGGAAGCUAGGAAGAUUGACACUCCAAAAUCUGCCAAGCCUAGAAUGCUUCUCCUCCAUCACAAGUUGUAUAUUCAAGUUUCCAUCCAUGCAUUCAAUAGAAGUGGAAGAGUGCCCGAAAAUGAAGAUAUUUUGUAAGAGUACGAUAAGCACACCAACACUCUAUUGGGUGACAUUGUUCGGAUACAAGUGGCAAGAGGAUUGGGAAGGUGAUCUCAACACAACCAUUCAAAAGUUAACAACAUAACUAGAUGGACAUAAAAUUGCACAAGUUCUGUAACUUUUCACAUUGAUGAAGGGAAGGGUACAUGCUGCGAGCGGUACAAAGAUCUAGAAGUUACUGAGGCACAGUCAAAAGUUGAGAGGACAGAAAUUUCUAUUAAGGAUAGAAGAUGAACAUCGCUGGCAAAGUUUUGCAAAUGGAGACGGCUCAUUUCUUCAAGGUCAUUCUCUCUCUAAAGGAAGGAAAUGUCUGUGUGUUCAAGCUCGUUAGAAUUUAUAAUAUUUGACUCAAAGUCUCCAUUUUCAGAAGGAAUGUCAAGACUCUGGCAUAAGCUCUGGUAUGCCUGCAAAAAAAUCUCUGCUUCGCAAUGUUUUGUUUAAUUAAUCAGAUCGAAAAAAGCAAAACGUUCUGCUGCAACAGAUUGAAUGGUGAUGCAUUUCUUGAUGUUUUUUUUAUAGAGUAGCGAACAUCCUUAGACCUAGACAUUGCAUCUUUCCAAAAUUCCGGGUAUGUUAUAAGUCGAACUCAUGCGGAGCGUGAUAUCAAUAAAAUAAAAGGCCGAAGGCAAUUCUCAUCUAUUGCCAUUAUAAGAUCACUACAAUCUGGAACUCAGUUCCGACCAUGACAUAGAAGUUAAUGAAUGAACGAUUGAAAU